CACGUAGGGUGCGAGCGUUGUCCGGAAUUAUUGGGCGUAAAGAGCUCGUAGGCGGCUUGUUGACGUCGACCGUGAAAACCUACCGCUUAACGGUGGGCUUGCGGUCGAUACGGGCAGGCUAGAGUUCGGUAGGGGAGACUGGAAUCUGGUGUAGCGGUGGAAUGCGCAGAUAUCAGGAGGAACACCGGUGGCGAAGGCGGGUCUCUGGGCAGUAACUGACGCUGAGGAGCGAAAGCGUGGGGAGCGAACAGG
rnacentral:rRNA from 1 species